CGGAGGAUCCAAGCGUUAUCCGGAUUUAUUGGGUUUAAAGGGUGCGUAGGUGGGUUAUUAAGUCAGUGGUGAAAGCCUGCAGCUUAACUGCAGAAUUGCCAUUGAUACUGAUAGUCUUGAGUAUAGUUGAGGUGGGCGGAAUGUGUCAUGUAGCGGUGAAAUGCUUAGAUAUGACACAGAACACCGAUUGCGUAGGCAGCUCGCUAAACUAUAACUGACACUGAGGCACGAAAGCGUGGGGAGCAAACAGGAUUAGAUACCCUGGUAGUCCACGCCCUAAACGAUGAUUACUCGAUGUGUGCGAUAUACAGUACGCGUCUAAGCGAAAGCAUUAAGUAAUCCACCUGGGGAGUACGGUCGCAAGAUUG
rnacentral:rRNA from 1 species